ACCCGAUGCCGUGGCCGACGAAGAAGGGGCACACCUGGAAGCCACCCCGCUGUGCCACAGUGCUGCAGGGCAAAGAGGACACGGAACGAGCUACAUUUCGCAACAGAUAGGUCACCUGUAGGCUGCACGUGCGAGAAUGAGACCAGAAAUGCAAAACACCGGAGGGAGGAAAAAAAGAAAGCACGAAAGACUGCAAGGUGCAUAAGGGUUGCCAAUUAAAAACACGACACAUGCAGAAGUUGUGCGUGAUCGCCUAGCAGAGCACAGGAGGACACAUGGAUGAUGGGAUGGGAGUAUGCCAGAAGCUAGCAGGGGGCCAUGGGGUCACUCAGGGCCAACAGGGUCCCUAGGCCGGGAUGGGGAGAGCUGCCAGCCCAUCAGCAGUGGUUGGGAGACCUAUCCCCAUGCCCCCACACCAGUAUGGUGAGGUUCUGCACAGGCAGAAGGUGCAGCAACCUGUUGUACUAAUGACCUGCUGGCUUUCUGUAUGGUUGUUUUUUUGACAUUUCAUAGACUCAGACCUCAGCUCUUCUGAAGUUCCCUCUCGGGCAGAGUUCUGCAGCGUGGUGUGGAAAGGGGUUUUGCAGCUCUGCAGCACAGCGGGAGGCACACAACUGUGGGAGCAAGCCAAAUUUCCCUACCAAAAGACAAAUUGUAAUGCAGCACAGUUUUGAUCUUCUAAAACAUUUUUUUCCCCAAACAGUGGACAACUAUCCUCCUGGGACUAAUGACUCACCAAGACUGAAGCACUGAACUUUUGCCACUUGCAGGCUAUUUGUGAAAGACACAGACUCACAUUCCUUUUGGUCAAUUGCAAAUGGAAAAAAAAAAAUAAAUUGGCUACAGACGGUUUAUCUCAGGGCCAGGUUUGUGUUGGGGGGGAGAUGUAAAGAAAAUGCAGGCAGCUGCCGGCACACAGCACUGCACAGGACAGUGAAUGGCAGCGAGGAUCCAACUUUGCAGUCCUCCCAGCGCACACCUCCCUCUGCCAGCUGGAGCUGCUGCUAGAUGUGCUUUUACAAUUUAAUGCCUGUUGGAGAGGUUUCACUCCAGCCAGUUCGUAUGUAAGCCAAAUGAGUUCAGUUGUAGCUCUAGCAAGUACGGCGUUAAAAACCAAACAAAAACAUUACACUUCAUCAUCCCGGAGAAAUGAGUACAGAUCUAAAACACUGCAGAGCUUAAAAAUAAUUGCAUUUACAGCUGGCCAUCAACUGCAAUUAUGUAUUUUUAACAUUAAUAAACUACAACCACAGCAACUGUAACAUACUAAUUCCUUAAAAGUCAAUGAAAGAUUUGAGUUGUAAGAAGCUUUACCUGCCAAUAGCUGGCUGGAAAUUGUGCAGUGCUGACAGUUCACCGAUGCAUAAUGCUUCUGUUUCUACACUUAAAUACAUUCUAAAGGCUACACGAUGAAGCCAAUAAAUUUUGUAUUUCACCUAUGAAAUUCUACCAUCUUAAUUGUGCAAAAAUAGAUUUUUUUCUUCAAAUAAUUUGUACGUCGUGCAAAGUGUUUAUAGUUAAUAACCAGAAUAUUAUUUAAUCAUUUUAUAGAACCUGUAUGCAAUUAUAAACAAUUUGUUGUGGCGUAUUUACUUUGAUUUUUACACCGUUCCCCUGUGAAACAUCCCAAUUUUGCUCAUUAAAAAUAAAUUAAAAAAUCAAUUAGCAACA